UUGAAAAACUUAAAAAAAAUCAAUUUAAAAAUCGGAGUGUAUAAUUUAUGUUACUUUUCAUGAAUAUGUAAAAGAUAUCAAUAAAAUGUAAAUGACUUCGUAUUAAAAAUUUAGUUACAUUUUCAAAUUAAGUAUAUAUGCCAGUGGCUCAAUACAAUGUCAAUACCAAAAUUGUUUUAAUGUACGUAUAGAAUGGACUGUUCAUGUGGUGGCAUACAAAAACAAUUAUGUAAUUGCAAAACUUACGUAUACCACCCAGAUCCUAACGAUACCAACAUUGUAUUUAUGCCAACUAAAUAUUCCUUAGUAAAACAUCAAGAAACCACGUUUAGGAACUUCUUGUAUAAUGUUUUUGAUGUCUGCCUUGGAUAUAACGUGAGGUACUGUGGGUUGCGUAAAUCGUCUGGGAAAAACAAAGCUAUUAAAAAUGCCGUAACAGAUUUAAUACUUUUGCUUUGUUUUCUUGUAACCAAUUCUGUUGUGUUUUUCACGCUUUUAACAAGAACAACAAUUCAUAUGGGAUGUGUUCUAUUGCGUCUUGGGAUAUAUCUGCAAAGAACAUUUUGUAAUAAAUACCAUGAUGUUGAUGAUGAUGUUGUGGAAUUCGAUCGAAACUAAUAUUGUUUUUAAGGAAUCUUACAGACAUGAAAUAAAAUAAAGAAAAAUUAGAUA